rnacentral:sRNA from 1 species
AGUAAUUAAGGCAAAAUAUGCGCCCUGCAAAAUGCCAACAUAACCGACGCUUAUCGCGUCGGUUAUUUUUUGC